GUAACACAGGAGAUCAAAGGGCAGAUAGAGAUGGGAAACAUCAGGCAAUAAUUAAGCAUCACUCUGAGAGCCUGGCUGGCUCCCCUCCUUUCCCCUCCCCACGCCAGCCCCUGCUUAUUCCGAAGCCCCUUCUUUCAUCUUUUCCUCAGGCUUCUCCACUCUCCCCAUCUCUACUCAUCCCCUCUCCUCCUUCCCACCUUUUCACCUCUUGGUUCACUGGCCUUUCACAUUUCAUCCCCUCCUGCAACAACCACAAUUACCCACCUAGCUCCUGCUGUCUCCCCCAAUCAAAGACUUCCACAUCCUCCCGGAAACUCCCUCCCCUCCACCUCUCUCUCCCUUCCUCUCUUCCUCCCUCCCUUUGCUUUCUGCCAUCUUCCCCUUUCACCUCCUUUCCCCCCUUUCUGCUCCUCCCUCUCUCUCUCAUUCCCUAGUCUUUUGCACCCUUUCUCUCUGCCUGCUAGUGGAGUCACCAUGACAACGGCCUCCAUGACAAUUACAGCCCAGGCAGCAGUGCCUCUUCCCAUGAGGCACUCCAAUACUCACUUGGAAUUUGCUCCCUGAUUUCAUGGCCCAGGCAGUGAAUUUGCCUCACUCCCCAAGUUUCCACAAGGCCACAGGGAAUAGACUUGGUAGCCAACCACAGCCCCGAAGAUGGGAGAAAGCAAAGAAGGAAGAAUGAAGCAUGGGAGAGAAUGAAAGAGGAGAGGGGGAACUGAAGCUCUCAUCUUCCUCUUCUCUGAUGGAACACAAAGGACUCCAGCAAGCUAUACAGGAAGCAUGGAAGCAUAGCAGCUGCUUCUUCUGGGAAGGCCUCAGGAAGCUUUCAAUCACGACAGAAGGCAAAGGUGGAGCCAACACUUCACAUGUCCAGAGCAGGAGGAAGACAGAGAGCCGGGAGGUGCCAUUUUAAACAACCAGAUCUCAGAAGAACUUACUGUCACCACAAAAUCACCAAGGGGGAUGGUGUUAAACCAUGAGAAAACCACCUACACGGCCCAAUCACCUCCAACCAGCACUGGGGAUGACAAUUUAACAGGAGAUUUGGGCAGGGACACAGACCCAAACCAUAUCAGUGUAUGUACAUUUUCGUUUAUUUACUUAAAAAAAAACCUAUUAGAAUCAUUCACUGUCACUGUACCUGGGAGAAAUACCAAAACAACUUUACUAAAACUUACUAAGAUACUAUUAUUGUGCCCAUUAAUUGUUUUCCAGGGAGAUGCACAUUUUUUAGCACAAAAUGCCCAGAUAGAAUUGGUAAAACUGAAAAUAUUAAUUUUAAUACGUCUUUAACAAUGUAAUGUUUUACCAAAAACUUCUCUUAUCUCAUCCUAUUCUUUAAAUAUAAACUUAGCUCACUUGCAAAUGGGGCCAUGUCUGCCAUAUAACCUAGUUAGUAACAUCAGUCACGACUAUCAAAUUAUCAGCCCAAUCAGAGUCACUUUAUGUCAUAAAAUGUCUGACUUCAUUUUUGAAUUUAAGUAAAUGGACUAAUAGACGUUUCAGAAAUAUUGUUAAAAAUUACUCAACCAUAUAUCGUGGAACUUGUGUUUUUUAAGGUAGCAUACUAAAAGCAGUCAAAUCAAGAUUAUGCUGAUACAAAGCGAAUAUAGUCUAUUCAUAUAAUUUAUAAAAACAACAAACACUUAUGCUGCUUCUCACUACUUAAUUUGAAGUAAUGCAGUGUAAUCUGCAGCAAAUAUGUGUUAUUUAUGGACCAAGAAGUAUAAAACUCUCGUUAGUCCUUUGGUAAAUAUGGGUGCAUGUAUGAAUUGAAUCUGUCUCUCAGCUUUUGAAAAUCAUUAAAUCACAAUUAUGAAUAAAAUUUCAGAAAUAAUGCCAUUAAUUUUGUGUGACAUUAUGACCAAGAUUUUCUCAUCUAUUUAGUUAAAGAGAAAGGUACACACUGGUAAAAAGAAAUUGUUGUUACAGCUAGAGUAUCAUUUUAUUCUUCAUUAAUCAGAUCUGGAAAAUACUAAGCAUUUUGUAAGAAGAAAUAAGCUGAGGACUGACAUAAAUAGUUCAUGAUACCAUUUUAUAAAAUAGGUGUUAACUUAUUGAAUAACGAACACUGAAUUUAAAAGAAAUCAGCUAAAGCUUUGUUCACAUACAUUUUAACAUUUACUUGUCCUCAGAAACAUUCCCAUUACAUUGAAUAGAAUCUGUGUCCCUAACCUGUACACUUUCAGCUGUUUCAAGGUGCUUUUCUUUCCGGAUAAUGCUGCUUCCCAGGAAUGAGUAUUGAGAAUAGCUGAACAUAAUUGCUUGUGAUUAAAUUUGUGUAACAAGGUCAUUUUUAGCAUCC
rnacentral:lncRNA from 1 species